CGCGGUGCUCGGCAGCCCGCUCCGCGAUGGGAGCCGCGGCGGUUGCGGCGCACGGCCCGCGCUCCUCCCUCGCCUCCUCCUCUUUCUCCUCCUCCUCAGGGCUCCAGUCAGGCCGAGCCGCUCCGCUCACGAAGCAACUUGAAGAGGCAAGAAAACUUUUGGAGCUGUAAAAUCCAAGCUGAUGCCUCUGCUGGAUAUUCUCUUUCUCUUUCAGAAAGGCAAAUUGAGAUAACUUGCUGCCUUUUGUGG